UUUUGCUGUUUGGGAAUAUGAAAACUUCUUUCGAAAUUCAAAUCAAAAAAGGAUGGAUCACGAUGUGAGAAUCUGUAUUUGGAUACAUAAAGUACUGGAGAAUCACCAGGAAGUUGAAUAAAUCUCAUAGGAGUUAGGAUGAAGAAGUUAUCUCACUUUCAAAUCAGGUGAUCUAAGUUUUCAUGUUUGGGAUUGUGACAACUUCUUCGUCAUUUAAAUUAAACCAGGAUAAAUCGCGAUGUGACAGACUGUAUUUGGAUACAUUAAAUAGUAUAGAAUUACCAAGAAGUUGAAUAAAUCUCAUAGGACUUAGGAUGAAGAAGUUAUGUCCCUUUCAAAUAAGAUGAUCCCAGUUUUUCCAUUUGAGAAUAUGACAACUUCUUCGUCACUCUAAUAAAACCAGGAUGAAUCGCGAUGUAGGAAGCUUGAUGUGGAUAUAUAAAAUAGUGGAGAAUCACCAGGAAGUUGAAUAAAUCUAAUAGGAGUUAGGAUGAAGAAGUUAUCCCACUUUCAAAUCAGGUGAUCCCAGUUUUCCUGCUUGGGAAUAUGACAACUUCUUUGUCAUUCUAAUUACACCAGGAGGAAUCGCGAUGUGAGAACCUGUAUUUAGAUACAUAAAGUAGUGGAGAAUCACCAUGAAGUUGAAUAAAUCUCAUAGGAGUUAGGAUGAAUAAGUUAUCCCACUUUCAAAUCAGGUGAUCCCAGUUUUCCUGUUUGGGAAUAUAACAACUUCUUCGUCACUCUAAGUAGACGAGUAUGAAUCGCGAUGUGAGAAGCUUCAUUUAGAUACAUAAAGUAGUGGAGAAUCACCAGGAAGUUAAAUCUCAUAGGAGUUAGGAUGAAGAAGUUAUCCCACUUUCAAAUAAGGUGAUCCCAUUUUUUCUGUUUGGGAAUAUGAAAACUUUUUUGUCACUCUAAUCAAACCAGGAUGAAUCGCGAUGUAAGAAGCUUGAUUUGAAUACAUAAAGUAGUGGAGAAUCACUAGGAAGUUGAAUAAAUCUCAUAGGAGUUAGGAUGAAGAAGUUAUCCCACUUUCAAAUAAGGUGAUCCCAGUUUUCCUGUUUGAAAAUAUAACAAAUUCUUCGUCACUCUAAUAAGACCAGUAUGAAUCACCAUGUGGGAAGCUUGCUUUGGAUACAUAAAGUAGUGGAGAAUCACUAGGAAGUUGAAUAAAUCUCAUACGAGUUAGGAUGAAGAAGUUAUCCCACUUUCAAAUCAGGUGGUCCCAGUUUUCCUGUUUGGGAAUAUGACAACUUCAUUGUCAUUCUAAUCAGACCAGGAUGAGUCGCGAUGUGAGAAGCUGUAUUUAGAUAUAUAAAGUAGUGGAGAAUCACAAUGACGUUGAAUAAAUCUCAUAGGAGUUAGGAUGAAGAAGUUAUCCCACUUUCAAAUUAGGUGAUUCCAUUUUUUCUGUUUGGAAAUAUGAUAACUUCUUUGUCAUUCUAAUCAAAACAGGAUAAAUCGCGAUGUAAGAAGCUUGAUUUGGAUACAUAAAGUAGUGAAAAAUCACCAAGAAGUUAAAUAAGUUUCAUAAGAGUUAGGAUGAAAAAGUUAUUCCACUUUCAAAUCAAGUGAUCCCAGUUUUCCUGUUUGGGAAUAUGACAACUUCUCUAACAUUCUAAUCAGACCAGGAUGAAUCGCGAUGUGAGAAGUUGUAUUUAGAUACAUAAAGUAGUGGAGAGUCACCAUGAAGUUAAAUAUAUCUCAUAAGAGUUAGGAUGAAAAAGUUAUCCCACUUUCAAAUCAGGUGAUCCUAGUUUUCCUGUUUGGGAUUAUGACAACUUCUUUGUCAUUCUAUUCAGACCAGGAUGAAUCGCGAUGUGAGAAGUUGUAUUUAGAUACAUAAAGUAGUGGAGAGUCACCAUGAAGCUAAAUAAAUCUCAUAGGAGUUAGGAUGAAGAAGUUAUCCCACUUUCAAAUCAGGUGAUCCCAUUUUUCUGUUUUGGAAUAUGACCACGUCUUUGUCGUUCUAAUCAAACCAAGAUGAAUCGCGAUGGGCGAAGAUGUAUUUGGAUACAUAAAAAAGUGAAGAAGCACCAGAAAGUUGAAUAAUUCUCAUAGGAGUUAGGAUGAAUAAGUUAUCCCACUUUCACAUUAGGUGAUCCAAGUUUCCUGUUUGGGAAUAUAACAACUUGUUCGUAACUCUAAUCAGACCAGUAUGAAUCGUGAUGUGAGAAGCUUGAUUUGAAUAUAUAAAGUAGUGGAGAAUCAAUAAAAAGUUGAAUA